GUGAGAAGCUUGUGCGUGGGAGAAUCAACAAGCGAAAAGGAUGUUAGCUACAUAUAAAAACUUGUAUUCCCUUGUUCUAUACAGCCAACGAGUUUUCACGGUGGAUUUGGAGAAUAACAAGUAACACUGUAGCAAGAAAACCACUGGUGUCUGCGAGUGCUUGAGGGAAUAACAGGUUAAGUUCACUGUAUGAAGAGUCCACAUUGCCAGGUUGCCAGGCUGGAGCUGAACCUUGGCAUCUGUAGGAGGCUGUUGGUCGAGCCUGUGAAUUCUGUCAUAAGUAUUGAAGAAAAUAUUCCUAGAUCAAUCUAGCAUGUCUCUA